GUCUGCAGGAUCCUGUUUACCAAUUGAUGUGCCACAUGAAAGAGUCGACCUGCAAGAUGGAAAUGUCAUGGAAUUUCUCCAGUCAAAGGAUACCAGGAUUAACC